rnacentral:tmRNA from 1 species
GGGGCUGCACUGGUUUCGACGUGGGUUCGGACGCGCAGCAGGGCAUGUCGAGGUUCUGUCACCUCGUUAAACCGCAGAAAAAAAACUAACUGCAAACGACGAACGUUUCGCACUCGCCGCUUAAUUGCCGGUGAGCUUUGCAACAGCAGGCCUAUGGGCUGGGCAAGGGUUCAGACGGCGCAAGCCGCGAGAGUCCAGGCUGCAAAGAUAAUU